AGUAGUAUUCACCAGUCGUUAUCCCGUUCGUCGAGUCCGGUAACCGGUAUUUACAAAGUUGGAGUAGUUGGUUGUUAUUUGGAAACAUUUGGUCCCAUUUGAAUAAAUUUCCGAUUGAUUUGCCUGCCUGCCUGCCUGCCUGCCAAAAAUCUACUCUUUUUCUCUCUCUUUCUCUCUGAGAUAUUUCAGCGGGUUUUGCUUCAGAUUAACAAGGUUUUCUUUCAAGUAAUUCUGCUUCAUUAUCAAGAUAAGAUCUGUUUAUUAUCAUAAUAUACUGAAAACUUACUUUUUCGCAUUUUUGUGUUUUAGGUUAUAUUUUUUUGCCAUUUUGGUGGACACAAUUGUUCUUAGAUUCCGGCGACUGUGAUUUGUUUCGUGAUUAUA
rnacentral:lncRNA from 1 species